rnacentral:rRNA from 1 species
GUGGGGAAUCUUAGACAAUGGGGGAAACCCUGAUCUAGUCAUGCCGCGUGAGCGAUGAAGGCCUUAGGGUUGUAAAGCUCUUUCAGCUGGGAAGAUAAUGACGGUACCAGCAGAAGAAGCCCCGGCUAACUCCGUGCCAGCAGCCGCGGUAAUACGGAGGGGGCUAGCGUUGUUCGGAAUUACUGGGCGUAAAGCGCACGUAGGCGGAUCAGAAAGUCAGAGGUGAAAUCCCAGGGCUCAACCUUGGAACUGCCUUUGAAACUCCUGGUCUUGAGGUCGAGAGAGGUGAGUGGAAUUCCGAGUGUAGAGGUGAAAUUCGUAGAUAUUCGGAGGAACACCAGUGGCGAAGGCGGCUCACUGGCUCGAUACUGACGCUGAGGUGCGAAAGCGUGGGGAGCAAACAGGAUUAGAAACCCGUGUAGUCC